rnacentral:rRNA from 1 species
GACGUAGGGCGCGAGCGUUUGUCCGGAUUAUUGGGCGUAAAGAGCUCGUAGGCGGCUUGUUGCGUCGACUGUGAAAACCCGCGGCUUAACUGCGGGCUUGCAGUUGAUACGGGCAGGCUAGAGUUCGGUAGGGGAGACUGGAAUUCCUGGUGUAGCGGUGAAAUGCGCAGAUAUCAGGAGGAACACCGGUGGCGAAGGCGGGUCUCUGGGCCGAUAUCGACGCUGAGGAGCGAAAGCGUGGGGAGCGAACAGG